rnacentral:rRNA from 1 species
GACGAACGCUGGCGGCGUGCUUAACACAUGCAAGUCGAACGGUGAAGCGCCUUCCUUUUUGGUGGGUGUGGAUGAGUGGCGAACGGGUGAGUAACACGUGAGUAACCUGCCCCCUUCUUCUGGAUAACCGCAUGAAAGUGUGGCUAAUACGGGAUAUUCUGGGUCUGUCGCAUGAUGGGUCUGGGAAAGAUAUUGUUUCGGUGGGGGAUGGGCUCGCGGCCUAUCAGCUUGUUGGUGGGGUGAUGGCCUACCAAGGCGGUGACGGGUAGCCGGCCUGAGAGGGUGGACGGUCACACUGGGACUGAGACACGGCCCAGACUCCUACGGGAGGCAGCAGGGGGGAAUAGUGCACAAUGGGCGCAAGCCUGAUGCAGCGACGCCGCGUGAGGGAUGGAGGCCUUCGGGUUGUGAACCUCUUUCGCCAGUGAAGCAGGCCUGCCUCGUUUGUGGGUGGGUUGACGGUAGCUGGAUAAGAAGCGCCGGCUAACUACGUG